AGGGUUUUCCUGUAUCGUCUUCUACCUUCUCAUCCUCGACCGCGAGACCAGAGAUUCGAGCCUGUUCAAAAUCCUUAACGCCUCCAAUUUCAAUAACUCUGCAACUUAACUCCACCUCACCCCUUUUAAUCCAGUCCUUCCACUUGAAUUGCUCAAUCAAUACACCUCUUCGUAUUCCACCGUACCCAGCUUAAUCCUCAGCUAUAAAUACGGCAUCUCACCAUCUUAAGAUGCACACCUCAAAUCAGACAGUAAUGGCACUCACCAACGCUCUCCAGUAUAUCCGGUUCAAUGCCUCUUUACUCCUCCUGAAACUCUCUCAUGGUAUAGAUAUGUAGAACGCCGGAGACCUUCGAGGCAAAGCUUUUUCGUCCUGCUUGAAUAUUAAACAAGCACUCGCUUUCUGAAACCCCGACAAUCUUGAAUCAAGAGCUACGUUUCUCUGAGCUGAAGGCUGGUACCAGGGAAUUAAUCCCGCUGGAGCUUUUCAUGUUUUCCAAUUACGACCAGUUGAUGUUGUAGGUGAACCACCAACACCUAUUUGCCCGAUAUUUUUUUCAUAUCUCCCGAAGAUUAAAAGAGAUCUCAAAACUUGGGCAGCCAUGGCAAGCACCAAAGUCCAGAGGAUUAUGAUCCAGCUAAUUAAAGAUCUGGGCACAGAAGAAAUAUGAAUUCAUUAGAAAAGAAAAUACCCAUCUGAGCGAGAGCCUCCAACUUCAACAAGCUUCCUACACCUCAUACUCUUUCUUGCCGUGUUGAGGAAGAGUUAUGUCCCUCUUAGCCAAGCCCUAAAGUCCAGCAAGAAAGAGUUGAGGCUAGACUAAGAGAAGGCAGAGCAGUGAACAUGCGCAUGAUUUGUUGUCGCAAGGAAAAUGCGACAAGUACAAUACUUGCCUUUGGAGAUUGAUAACCGAGCUUAGAUGCUACGCCACUAAACCGAACCAAGACGCCAUACCCAAAAUAUCCGACCAGAAGAGGAAUCUGGCUUAGUAGGUGUUCAAUCAGUUUCUCGAAGAUAGCCAUGACGAGGAACAUUGAGAUGAGAAUGUCUGUAACUACAAAACCAGAGGAAACGGCGUUAACUAAGUCAUCAAAUCGAGAUUUGCAUGGUUCUUCUCGCCAGUUGUACACCAGAGCUCCAAUGGGAGGCCAUGGAUGGUUCUUCUGGCCUUAGUGUUGUUAGUUCGUUAAGGUGAAAUAGAGAGAGAAGUUAGAUGAAAAAGGAGAAGAUAGUGAGCAAUAUGUGAUAAUGUGAAAGUUUUGGGAUUUUGUUAGAAAUUAAAGAAUUGUAACUUUUUGGGGACACACGUUGUCUUCUUACUCUGCUUUUUUGAGAUUUGCAAAGAAAAUAGUGAUGUUUGCUAU